rnacentral:tRNA from 1 species
GGGGAUAGAGCUCAGUUGGUAGAGUACUUGCCUAGUAUGCACAAGGCCCUGGGUUCAAUCCCAGCACCACCA